AGUGAACGCUGGCGGUAGGCCUAACACAUGCAAGUCGAACGGCAGCACAGUAAGAGCUUGCUCUUACGGGUGGCGAGUGGCGGACGGGUGAGGAAUACAUCGGAAUCUACUUUUUCGUGGGGGAUAACGUAGGGAAACUUACGCUAAUACCGCAUAUGACCUACGGGUGAAAGCAGGGGAUCUUCGGACCUUGCGCGAUUGAAUGAGCCGAUGUCGGAUUAGCUAGUUGGCGGGGUAAAGGCCCACCAAGGCGACGAUCCGUAGCUGGUCUGAGAGGAUGAUCAGCCACACUGGAACUGAGACACGGUCCAGACUCCUACGGGAGGCAGCAGUGGGGAAUAUUGGACAAUGGGCGCAAGCCUGAUCCAGCCAUCCCGCGUGGGUGAAGAAGGCCUUCGGGUUGUAAAGCCCUUUUGUUGGGAAAGAAAAGCAGCAGGUUAAUACCCCGCUGUUCUGACGGUACCCAAAGAAUAAGCACCGGCUAACUUCGUG
rnacentral:rRNA from 1 species